ensembl:snRNA U6 U6 spliceosomal RNA
GUGCUUGCUUUGACAGCACAUAUACUACAACUGGAACAAUACAGAGAAAAUUGAUAUGGCUUCUACAAAAAGAUGACAUGCAAAUUUUUGAAGUGUUCUAUAUACUU